GUUACUUUGGCAGAAUAGUGCAAUUGAUUUAGAAUCUUUUUAUGUAAUUGAAAUUACAGGUGAUA
rnacentral:tRNA from 1 species